ensembl:snRNA U2 U2 spliceosomal RNA
AUCGCUUCUCAGCCUUUUGGCUAAGAUGAAGUGUGGUAUCUGUUCUUAUCAGUUUAAUACCUGAUACAUCCUGUACCCAAGAAUAAUAUAUUAAAUGCAUUUUUGGAGCUGGGAGAUGGAAUAGGAGCUUGCUCCGUACCCUCCACACAUCGACUUGGUAUUGCAGUACCUCCAGAAAUGGUGCACCCCCU